rnacentral:rRNA from 1 species
GAGUUUGAUCGUGGCUCAGAUUGAACGCUGGCGGCAUGCCUUACACAUGCAAGUCGAACGGCAGCAUGAUCUAGCUUGCUAGAUUGAUGGCGAGUGGCGAACGGGUGAGUAAUACAUCGGAACGUGCCCUGUAGUGGGGGAUAACUAGUCGAAAGAUUAGCUAAUACCGCAUACGACCUGAGGGUGAAAGUGGGGGACCGCAAGGCCUCAUGCUAUAGGAGCGGCCGAUGUCUGAUUAGCUAGUUGGUGGGGUAAAGGCCCACCAAGGCGACGAUCAGUAGCUGGUCUGAGAGGACGAUCAGCCACACUGGGACUGAGACACGGCCCAGACUCCUACGGGAGGCAGCAGUGGGGAAUUUUGGACAAUGGGCGAAAGCCUGAUCCAGCAAUGCCGCGUGUGUG